ensembl:misc_RNA Metazoa_SRP Metazoan signal recognition particle RNA
UUAGCUUUCUUUUUCAGAAGCAACCUGGCCACAAAUGAUAGGUAAGCGACGUGGGUUGCGGGAUCGCUUGAGGACGGGAGUCCUGCGCUGUGAGGCUCUAUGCCGAUCGGGCGUCCGCACCAAGUUCGGUAUCAAUAUGGUGAGCGAGGGGGAGCUCCCGCGCACCAGGUUGUUGUACUAAGGAGGGACGAACCGGCCCAGGCCGGAGACGGAGCAGGCCAAAGUCCCCGUGCCGAUCAGUGGUGGGACAGCGCCUGUGAAUAGACCUCUCAGGGCAGCCCGGCCGACACAGCGAGACCCAAUCC